rnacentral:rRNA from 1 species
UACGGGAGGCAGCAGUGGGGAAUAUUGCACAAUGGGCGCAAGCCUGAUGCAGCCAUGCCGCGUGUAUGAAGAAGGCCUUCGGGUUGUAAAGUACUUUCAGUCGUGAGGAAGGUGUUAAGGUUAAUAACCUUAGCAAUUGACGUUAGCGACAGAAGAAGCACCGGCUAACUCCGUGCCAGCAGCCGCGGUAAUACGGAGGGUGCGAGCGUUAAUCGGAAUUACUGGGCGUAAAGGGCACGCAGGCGGUUAAUUAAGUUGGAUGUGAAAUCCCCGGGCUUAACCUGGGAAUGGCAUUCAAGACUGGUUAGCUAGAGUCUUGUAGAGGGGGUAGAAUUCCGAUGUGUAGCGGUGAAAUGCGUAGAGAUGUGGAGGAAUACCGGUGACGAAGGCGGCCCCUGGACAAAGGACUGACGCUCAUGUGCGAAAGCGUGGGGAGCAAACAGGGAUUAGAUACC